AUUGCCCUAGUAACGGCGAGUGAAGCGGCAACAGCUCAAAUUUGAAAUCUGGCCCUCGGGUCCGAGUUGUAAUUUGCAGAGGAUGCUUUUGGCGCGGUGCCUUCCGAGUUCCCUGGAACGGGACGCCUUAGAGGGUGAGAGCCCCGUACGGUUGGACACCAAGCCUCUGUAAAGCUCCUUCGACGAGUCGAGUAGUUUGGGAAUGCUGCUCUAAAUGGGAGGUAAAUUUCUUCUAAAGCUAAAUAUUGGCCAGAGACCGAUAGCGCACAAGUAGAGUGAUCGAAAGAUGAAAAGCACUUUGAAAAGAGGGUUAAACAGCACGUGAAAUUGUUGAAAGGGAAGCGUUUGCGACCAGACCUUCUCCUGGCGGAUCAUCCGGUGGUUUCCACCGGUGCACUUCGCCAGGUCGAGGCCAGCAUCGGUCUCUGUAGGGGGAUAAAAGCUCUGGGAACGUAGCUCCUCCGGGAGUGUUAUAGCCCUCUGCAUAAUACCCUUACGGGGACCGAGGACCGCGCCUUCGGGCAAGGAUGCUGGCGUAAUGGUUGUCAACGACCCGUCUUGAAACACGGACCAAGGAGUCGAACAUUUGUGCGAGUGUUUGGGUGUUAAACCCUCACGCGUAAUGAAAGUGAACGGAGGUGAGAGCCCUUACGGGUGCAUCAUCGACCGAUCCUGAUGUCUUCGGAUGGAUUUGAGUAAGAGCAUAACUGUUCGGACCCGAAAGAUGGUGAACUAUGCGUGGAUAGGGUGAAGCCAGAGGAAACUCUGGUGGAGGCUCGCAGCGGUUCUGACGUGCAAAUCGAUCGUCAAAUCUGCGCAUGGGGGCGACCAGACUUAUUGA
rnacentral:rRNA from 1 species